rnacentral:rRNA from 1 species
UACAGAGGGGCAAGCGUUGUUCGGAAUUACUGGGCGUAAAGGGCGCGUAGGCGGCCUUCUAAGUCGAACGUGAAAUCCCCGGGCUCAACCCGGGAACUGCGUCCGAUACUGGAAGGCUUGAAUCCGGGAGAGGGAUGCGGAAUUCCAGGUGUAGCGGUGAAAUGCGUAGAUAUCUGGAGGAACACCGGUGGCGAAGGCGGCGCUCUGGACCGAGACUGACGCUGAGGCGCG